AACGCACCUUGCGCUCUUGGGCCAUUCCUAAGAGCAUGCCUGUUUGAGUGUCGUGAACUCCUCAACCCUGGAUGGAUUUUGAAUCCGACCGGUGGCUUGGAUUUGGGGGCUUGCUGGCCGUUUCGAUUCGGUCUGCUCCCCUUGAAUGCAUUAGCUUGGACUUGUGACUUAGGCUACAUAGUGUGAUAAUUAUCUACGCUUGGUUGUCUUUGGAACGUUGUGGUCUGGCUUCUAAUCGUCCUCUCUGGACAAUAUUUCAAUCUUUGACCUCAAAUCAGGUAGGACUACCCGCUGAACUUAA
rnacentral:rRNA from 1 species